ensembl:snRNA U2 U2 spliceosomal RNA
AUCGCUUCUCAGACUUUUGGCUAAGAUCAAGUGUAGUAACUUCUUAUCAGUUUAAUAUCUGAUACAUCCUCUAUGGGAGGACAACAUAUUAAAUGGAUUUUUGGAGCAGGGAGAUAGAAUAGGAGCUUGCUCCGUCCAUUCCACGCAUUGACCUGGUAUUGCAGUACUUUCAGGAACGGUGCACCCCCU